rnacentral:rRNA from 1 species
UACCYGCUGRACUUAAGCAUAUCAAUAAGCGGAGGAAAAGAAACCAACAGGGAUUGCCUCAGUAACGGCGAGUGAAGCGGCAACAGCUCAAAUUUUAAAGCUGGUGCCUAUGGCGCCCGCGUUGUAAUUUGGAGAGGCACCUUCGGUUAGGGCGCCAGCCUAUGUUCCUUGGAACAGGACGUCACAGAGGGUGAGAAUCCCGUGCUUGGCUGGCUGUCCCUUUCCAUGUGAAGCGCCUUCGACGAGUCGAGUUGUUUGGGAAUGCAGCUCAAAAUGGGUGGUAAAUUCCAUCUAAAGCUAAAUAUUGGCGGGAGACCGAUAGCGCACAAGUAGAGUGAUCGAAAGAUGAAAAGCACUUUGAAAAUAGAGUUAAAAAGUACGUGAAAUUGUUGAAAGGGAAGCGCUUGAGACCAGACUCGGCCCCAGGUGAUCAGCCACUCUUCUGGGUGGUGCAUUUGCCUUUGGUCGGGCCAGCAUCGGUUGAGACGGCGGGACAAAGGUCUUGGGAAUGUGGCUCCUUGCGGGGAGUGUUAUAGCCUGAGAUGCAAUGCUGUCAGACUCGACCGAGGACCACGCCUUUGUGCUAGGAUGCUGGCGUAAUGGUCUUCAGCGACCCGUCUUGAAACACGGACCAAGGAGUCUAACAUCUAUGCGAGUGUUUGGGUGUCAAACCCUUGCGCGUAAUGAAAGUGAACGGAGGUGGGAACCCCAUCUCGGGGCGCACCAUCGACCGGUCCUGAUGUUUUCGGAAGGAUCUGAGUAGGAGCAUAGCUGUUGGGACCCGAAAGAUGGUGAACUAUGCCUGAAUAGGGUGAAGCCAGAGGAAACUCUGGUGGAGGCUCGCAGCGGUUCUGACGUGCAAAUCGAUCGUCAAAUUUGGGUAUAGGGGCGAAAGACUAAUCGAACCAUCUAGUAGCUGGUUCCUGCCGAAGUUYCCCYMAGGA